AGCAUGUUGGUUAGAGCAUGGUCCUGGUGUUAAUAACACCAGGGCCAUGGGUUUGGUCCCUGUAUGAGCUA